rnacentral:rRNA from 1 species
GACGAACGCUGGCGGCGUGCUUAACACAUGCAAGUCGAACGGCAAGGCCCUGCUUGCAGGGUACUCGAGUGGCGAACUGGUGAGUAACACGUGGGUGCUCUGCCCUGCACUUCUGGAUAAGCCUUGGCGACUGGGUCUAUUCCCGGAUAGGGGCCACUUUUAGUGUGUUGAUUGGAAAGUUUUUUCUGUGUAGGAUGAGCUCGCGGCCUAUCUGCUUGUUGGUGGGGUAAUGGCCUACCAAGGCGGGAACGGGUCGCCGGCCUGCGGGUGUGGGACGCCAAAAUGGGAAAGAGGUGAGGCCCAGGAGCCGAAGGGUGGCAAAAGGGGGGAAGAAUGAACAAGGGGUGCAAGGCGGAUGAAGAGGAGCCGCGGGGGGGAUGACGGCCUUCGGGGUGUAAACUCCUUGCGCGAGGGACGAAGCUUUUUGUGACGGUACCUAGAUAAGAAGCACCGGCUAACUACGUG